UACGUAGGGGGCGAGCGUUGUCCGGAAUUAUUGGGCGUAAAGAGCGUGUAGGCGGUUCGGUAAGUCUGCCGUGAAAACCUGGGGCUCAACCCCGGGCGUGCGGUGGAUACUGCCGGGCUAGAGGGUGGUAGAGGCGAGUGGAAUUCCCGGUGUAGCGGUGAAAUGCGCAGAUAUCAGGAGGAACACCGGUGGUGAAGACGGCUCUCUGGACCGCUACUGACGCUGAGACUCGAAAGCGUGGGGAGCAAACAGG
rnacentral:rRNA from 1 species